rnacentral:rRNA from 1 species
GAUGAACGCUGGCGGCGUGCCUAAUACAUGCAAGUCGAGCGAACGGACGAGAAGCUUGCUUCUCUGAUGUUAGCGGCGGACGGGUGAGUAACACGUGGAUAACCUACCUAUAAGACUGGGAUAACUUCGGGAAACCGGAGCUAAUACCGGAUGAUAUUUUGAACCGCAUGGUUCAAAAGUGAAAGACGGUCUUGCUGUCACUUAUAGAUGGAUCCGCGCUGCAUUAGCUAGUUGGUAAGGUAACGGCUUACCAAGGCAACGAUGCAUAGCCGACCUGAGAGGGUGAUCGGCCACACGGGAACUGAGACACGGUCCAGACUCCUACGGGAGGCAACAGUAGGGAAUCUUCCGCAAUGGGCGAAAGCCUGACGGAGCACCGCCGCGUGAGUGAUGAAGGUCUUCGGAUCGUAAAACUCUGUUAUUCGUGAAGAACAUAUGUGUAAGUCACUGUGCACAUCUUGACGGUACCUAGUCAGAAAGCCACGGCUAACUACGUG